CCCCCCCCCCCCCCCCCCCCCCCCCCCCCCCCCCCCCCCCCCCCCCCCCCCCGUGUAGAGAAGGAAGGAGCCGGACACUGAGGGGACACGGGGACAAUGAGGGGACAGGGACAUGGGAGGGGUUGGGGAGACAGUGGUGGCCACCAGGAGCUGCCUUUGGCCACCCAGAGCUGCCCAGUGGCCACCAGGAGUUGGCUAGUGGCCACCAAGAGUGGGCACGGUGUAGAGAAGGAAGGAGCCGGACACUGAGGGGACACGGGGACAAUGAGGGGACAGGGACAUAGGAGGGGUUGGGGACAUCUCUGGUGGCACUUGGGGACAUCCCUGGGGACGCCUAAAGGGGCUGGGGACACCCCUGGGGACACGCAGGGACAGCCCUGGUGGCACUUGGGGACACCUAAAGGGGUUGGGGACACCCCUGGGGACAUCUUCAGGGACAGGCAAAGGCCACCAGGGCUUGGGGACAUCUCUGGGGACACUUGGGGACACCCACAGGGGGUUGGGGACAGUUUCCAAGUGCCACCACCCCCUUUGGGGACACCACCUGGACACUGGGGAUGGCGAGGUGACACCGGGGACAGGGAGGUGACAUCAGGGACAGGGAGGUGACACCGGGGACAGGGAGGUGACAAUGGGGACAUCGGUGGCCGUACCUUCCCCGGGUCCCCAGGCUUUGUCCAGCGCGGUCUCGACGUUCCCGUACAUUGUCCCCAAUGUCCCCAAAUGUCCCCAGUUGUGUCCCCAGCCUGUCCCUGCUGAUAACACCCGCAGGGGACAAGGCGGGGGACAGG
rnacentral:lncRNA from 12 species